GAUGAAGAACGUAGCGAAAUGCGAUAAGUAAUGUGAAUUGCAGAAUUCAGUGAAUCAUCGAAUCUUUGAACGCACAUUGCGCCCGCUAGUAUUCUGGCGGGCAUGCCUGUCCGAGCAUCAUUUCAACCCUCAAGCCCCCGGGCUUGGUGUUGGGGAUCGGCGAGCCUCCGCGCCCGCCGUCCCCUAAAUCUAGUGGCGGUCUCGCUGUAGCUUCCUCUGCGUAGUAGCACACCUCGCACUGGGAAACAGCGCGGCCACGCCGUUAAACCCCCAACUUCUGAACGUUUGACCUCGGAUCAGGUAGGAAUACCCGCUGAACUUAAGCAUAUCAAUAAGCGGAGGA
rnacentral:misc_RNA from 1 species